UUUGUAGUAGGGCCUGAGGGCAAGACCCUAAACAAGUUGUUUUUCUUUAACUCUGUCCUCUGCACUGGAAUGCAGCUUGCAACUCUUCUUUGCCUUUGUUGAGCAGGAAGCAUGAUAGCUGAAGGCCAAGGUUGAAGUUCGGAUGCUUUAUCUUCUUGAUAAAGAAGGGCAUAAUUAUGCACGGAUAAUAUUGAAAUAACAUCCAAAGUACACUUGCACUGUAGUCACCUAAAAGAAAAUUGGGAAAUACUAACUGGGAGUUGUUUGUAAAGAGCCUUGGCCUGGGUGUCAGAGGCUUAGGAGCAGAGCUGGGAAUUCUACUUAAAAAGUCUACUUUGGACUUGAUGACUUUGAAUAGCCCUUCCCACUGUAGCAUUCUGCCUCCUGUAUAUCUGACUGAAGGUGAACUCCCUGCCAUUGGCGUUCAUUUGGCAUUCAGAUGUUUCAGUGCAUCAUCCCUUUUAUGUUCGUAUUUCCAAGUUAACACUGGAAUGUACUGACAACACAUUUGUCAGGCACUACCCUUCCUAUAUAUAUUACCACAUCGAAUCCUUAUAACAAUUCUCUGGGGGCAGGUAUCCUAAUACAAAUUUUCCAUAUAAGGAAACUCAGACCUAGAGUGGCUAAGUCACUCACCUGAGAGCACACAGUAAGUGGUAGAAUGGGAGCUUAGCCCCUAGACUGACUCUCCUGAUAGUUUAUUAUACUAGUUAGAACUGUAU
rnacentral:lncRNA from 10 species